rnacentral:lncRNA from 1 species
CCCUGCCCCACCCUUUUCAACUGCCCUCUGGUGGCUGGCCUAGAAAGUCCGAGAGGGAGGCUGCAGGAACCCUACGCAGCCGCAAUGAGUCCUAGGAAGUCUGUAGUGGCGGAACGGCCAGGUAGUACCUCGCGCUAAGAACCUUCCUGAGCGCAAGCGCGGUGGAACUCGCUUGGGCUGUUCCGCGCACGGGACGCUACGGGUGACUGACAGACCUGAAAGGCCCAGAAAUGGGCCAGACCCAGGCCAUGAGGACAACUCAGGAAGUCAGGAAGCGGGAUUCUGUGGAGCAAGGUGUGGACCACCUGCAGCUAAGGGAAACGAGGACUUUGCCACCUCUGAGAAAGGUUCUCAGCUGGACCAGGUUGGUGGCCUGAAUGUAUUAGCUUCGCUGCAUCUGCUUAAGAGAUGGUUUAGGCAUUCUUCACUUCUACUUCCGGGUCGUCCAGAUUCUCGCCUGAAUUUGUGCCCUCAUCUUCAUGCUUGCGGUUCCAUGCUCCCCAGCUGCCCGAAUUACUCUCCCAGCCUCUUCUUUGCUAGUCAUCUGACUCCAGAUUCACCCACUAGUCUGUCCCCAACAGUCUCUGAUGGAUCUUCCUCCCUCAGAACCUCCCUCUCAGAAGUCUUCUGCCCACAACAUCAAAUCCAGCCUCAAGGUUUGUAUCUCUU